CCUGUCCCUAGAAGUAUUGCCGGUGUGGUUGUUCUGUCACAUGUGCAUCAGGAGGUAGCAGAGGGGAGAUGGGCUGUGUCAAGGCUCAGUGUUCUGACUUAUGAACAUCUGAAUGAUCAGUAGCCUAGCAUU